rnacentral:rRNA from 1 species
CAGCAGCCGCGGUAAUACAGAGGGUGCGAGCGUUAAUCGGAUUUACUGGGCGUAAAGCGUGCGUAGGCGGCUUCUUAAGUCGGAUGUGAAAUCCCUGAGCUUAACUUAGGAAUUGCAUUCGAUACUGGGAAGCUAGAGUAUGGGAGAGGAUGGUAGAAUUCCAGGUGUAGCGGUGAAAUGCGUAGAGAUCUGGAGGAAUACCGAUGGCGAAGGCAGCCAUCUGGCCUAAUACUGACGCUGAGGUACGAAAGCAUGGGGAGCAAACAGGAUUAGAUACCCCUGUAGUCCCUGUCACUUAUAC